GGAUUCAGCAGAUGAAGACAUACCGGAUGCGAUGUUUAAGGAAAGCUGUAUCACAGAACAAACCCAAAUACUUCUUUGACAAUGAUGAAGCUCCUACUCAGGUGUCCUGGACUGUGGAAACUGUUCCAGGAUGUAUCGUGCCGAGAAGCUGCCCAACACCAACCUAGUGUUUCUGAUCACUGAUGCCAAGGCAACGUGUUUGUCGUGUGACCCCAGGCCUCUACGGCAGGCUGAGCAGCCCUCUGAAGGUCCAAAUCCAUGCGAGCUGGCUCAGAAUCCCAGAUACCGCAAAGGGCCAGAUGUGUGUUUUGACAACAAUGAAAACGAAGAUGAUUCUGACUGCGGAGGAGGGACUUUCCUAAGCCGAGUCUUUGGCCAAUGCUCGGCCCUCCAACUGCUGCUGCUGUGGCUCAUCACAUCUUUACGACACUCAUGACCUACACACACAGCACUGAUCAUCUCAUUUCACAGGAGGCCAGAAGACACUCCAGUUACGCCAUACAGGAUGUAUGCAAAAUUUGCAAGGAGACGUUUUUUUUUUUUUUUUUU